GCUGAUUGAUUCGUUCUUUUUUAUUUGUGGAGAGAAAUUUAUUCAAUACGACAAUGGUACCAAGAAUCUCCGUUUUGUUUGCCUUAUUCUUAAUUUGUAAAGUUAAUGCUCAGCGUUCUGUAAAACAGUUUAGUCGUAGCAGUAAGUCAAAUGCUUCAGCUUCCAAAUCCACAGUAUCAGAAGUUGUUAGUAAUAAUGUUCAAAGAAGAGUACCAGUGGUUCAGAACACUGAUUUCGGUUUAGCGAGUGCUUCAAAUAAACUAUUCCCAUCACAAAUGCAGAGCAAUUCUUUUAGGGAUAUUGUAGAUUUGACACAUAACAGAAACAGAAACGCGGGUUUAGAUCGCCAAAACAAUCAACUACAAACACUUCUAGAUUUGAAUGACAUUACAGCUAUGGAAACAUCUAUUAAAGA